rnacentral:misc_RNA from 1 species
AAUUUGCAUGGAGAUGAACACCAAAGUUGUGUUGCCCAAAUGCAGUCAUUCAAUGUGUUUGAAGUGCUAUCGGAAUUGGUAAGCUAACUAUUACAUGAUAUUUUGUUUGAAUGUAUGUGGUGGUGCAAGUGUCCUUGCUUUUGCUAUGAUAUUGGAACUGGCAAGGCAGGUGAAUGUGCAGGAAAGGAAAAAGUACAGUACAUGAGAGAAAACUCAAUUCAUGGCCUUCCAUACCCAAAUUGUCACAAAUUCAGGGAAUUCUGUGAAUUUCUACAUGAUCAUAGUAGUCUCUUUCCAGUGUCCCAAUAAAAAUGAAACAGUGGCUACUAAAUUCCCUUAAUCAACAUAUUUUCAAUUGAUAGGCGCAUGAAACUAGGGCCGUUUUUUAUGAAAAUUGAUGAGUAAUGAGAUCUCAUAUUGAAGCCACAUACACUUGAUCACAGCUGGGAGGUUUGGCCUGUUUUUUAGGUAGUUGUUUAAAUACUGCAUGUUUUCCUCCAUUAUGCUGUUGAGACUAUAUAAAUGGAAAUCAAUUUUGAAUGUGCUUUGUUUGGAACUUUACCAUAUAUCACUUAGUUGCUUGGUUUUUGGUAAUUUUUUUCAUUCCCACCAGUGUUUAGAAAUAACAUCUCUUGCUUAUGUGUCAUGUCAUUUAAGAAAUCUCUCCUUCCAAAAUAAUCCUCUGAAUCAGUCAUCUUAGAGAAGCAUCCAUGGAAGAUAUUGAAUUUCUGGUAAUAAGAUCAAUUAAGCUUUGUGGGGCUCUAAAGUUAGAGGUAGAAAUUAUGUAGAAAUUCAAUAGAAAAGAAUAUGCAAUGGAAAAUUCAAGAUUUUGUUAAGAGGUAGAAGUUUGUUCAAUUAAUUUCAAAGCGUAAAAAAGAGAUUUGAGAGUUGGAACUAGCUCAUGACAAAAAUAUUGGGAAUUCCUUUGGUGGUGCAUGAUAGCCUACCCCCUUUUCUCUUUUCAAGGGAAAUAAUACUAGGGCUUGGUGGACCAAGAACAUCUGGAUCAGGUUGUUCUGUUAUCAGAGUGCUUAGUCAUAUUUUAUUUGGUUGCUUCUAAAAUAAAUGCCUUUUAUUUAUUUAUUUGUUUCUAAGUCCUUCCAUCCUAUAAAAAUAAACCUACUGUUUUGGACAUAGUUUAAAGAAAUAAAUUUUAUUUAAUCUCUCCUUAAUAUACUUGUCUUUCAUAUUGUUUCACUAAAAAUUAAAUGACUCGUAUACUUGAUUGUUCUUGAAAUUAAUGAUUUUAAUUUUUCAAUGCAUAGUAAAUAAGGACGUAGUAAUAGAUUAAUAAAUAACUAUCAUUUCAAAGUGAUAUAUAAUUUAAAAAAAGAAAGUAAAUUUAUCUUUAUAAAAUGGAAGAACUAUGCUUUACUUCAAUUGGAUACUAUGAUAUCUUGUUAGGCGAGCAAGGUCUCAGUCUUGCCCUUUCUGCCGGGACAGCAUUAAGAGAGUUAACUCAGGCGACCUGUGGAUCUAUACCUGCAAAAAUGAGAUUGUUGACUUGU